GUAAUAAUGAGAGCCAGGUGUGUGUAAUGAUGAGUGCCAGGUGUGUGUAAUGAUGAGUGCCAGGUGGGUGUAUUAAUGAGAGCCAGGUGUGUGUAAUGAUGAGUGCCAGGUGUACGUAAUGAUGAGUGCCAGGUGUGCGUAAUAAUGAGAGCCAGGUGUGCGUAAUAAUGAGUGCCAGGUGGGUGUAAUGAUGAGUGCCAGGUGGGUGUAAUGAUGAGUGCCAGGUGUGUGUAAUGAUGGGUGCCAGGUGUGUGUAAUGAUGAGUGCCAGGUGUGUGUAAUGAUGAGUGCCAGGUGGGUGCAAUGAUGAGUGCAAGGUGUGUGUAAUGAUGAGUGCCAGGUGUGUGUAAUGAUGGGUGCCAGGUGGGUGUAAUGAUGAGUGCCAGGUGUGUGUAAUGAUGAGUGCCAGG
ensembl:lncRNA